ensembl:lncRNA
CCGAUUUUGAAAGUCGUUUAGUGUUCACUAGGCAUAUCAAGCUAGGUUAUGUGAAGUAAGAAUUUCCCUGUAGUGUACUCAGUACGGUAUCUCACUCCUCUAUUACUAAACCCCUCGAACAUUUCCCUUCUAGUUAUUCUUCCUUGCUGAGAAAAACAAUAGAAACCAAUACAGAAAUUCUAAUAGUUUCCACUACAAAUACCAUUACAAACCAUCACCUAACAAUUAAAAUCAUUGCCCUUACCAUUUUUGCUCCUUAAUGGUAUCCACUAGACAUAACAUGCCACCAAUAGAAGGCAACUAAUUACGAGUAGAGACCCACAGGUUCUAUUACAGUUUCCAUUAAAACCAAUACAAUUCCCAUCAUGAACAUUAAAACCAUUACAAAUUCUUUGAGGGUGUGGCUUUUAAAGCUGGAGCAGGCAGAACACAGACACUGGGAGACUGGAGUGCUCUUUUAUUUAUAGAAGUGUGGUUGGGUGUGGGGAGUGCAGUGCUCUGGUGCAGAGGCAGAUCAGCAUCGGUCUCUGGAGUCAGAGCGUGAGGAGUAGGCCUCUGGAGUCAGAGCGUGAGGAGUAGGCCUCUGGAGUCAGAGCGUGAGGAGUAGGCCUCUGGAGGUGAGAGGCGGGAACCAAGGAACUCAGUUGAAGACCUCAGAGGCAUCGAUCUGGAUGUGGCUGCCAGGGAAUGUCCUUGUCGUCUGAGCUGUGUCUGCUUCCUGCAGGAAAGGAAGAAAAAUAUAUCAGCUGAUAUGUGUUGAGGAACAUUGCUCACAUGGCUGUUGUUCUGAUGCCCUUUUAUACUCUCCCCUCUGCUCCGGGAGGGUAAAGAGAGGCUGCUGUCAUCAGUGGCUGCCAGCUGUGUGUGUUUCUGCCGCCCCGCUUUGCAGCCAUGUACUCUCAUGCUGUCCAAAACAAUCGAGGUUCUGAAGUGACGCUGUCCUUUCAGCACCUCGCUGCCAAUCACGUGAAGAACAUUAUAUCUUUGUGUAGUAUCUUUGUAUGGGGGGAGAUCUUCUCCUCAGUGCACCAGGUUACGCUCAAUGGGACUUGUGGAAACACACACACACCUGGAGCUGGUUCAACCCAACUUUUAGCAGGUUUACGUGAUAUGUUUGUGUUUCUGCGCACUUACCGGGCUGUCACAAGCGGUAGGUGUACAUGUUAUGAAGCACACAGAGGAGGGGACCCAAAAGCAAAACUCAGGCACAAGGUUAACAGGAUUUAUGGAAGGGUAGUGGAAGCUGGGGUGUGUGGGAUAGAAGUGUGAUAAUGUGUAGUCGGGGUUAGGAUUCGACCCCGGGCCCACGUGAGCGUGCACAGGCGAUGCUGGCUUAUGUUGUCGAGGCUUGAACUCAGGUCAGCAGCGUGAGUGCUGAGUGCAGAGCAGGAGAGCCAUGGGGAAGACAAGGCGAAAUGGACCUGUGAGCAGUGUUGGCAGUGAGCAGGCAGGAAGCAGGUGCAGGUGAUCCUGGAGCACGAGGAGAGAAAACACACGACGAGCACAGUGUGGGAAACCAUUAACAAUAACACGAGUACAGCCGGCAGUGUACCGCAACGAAAGCCGGAACAAUCUGGUGAAGAGUGGCUGAAAGACUGGAGUUUAUAUAUGCUAUAUAUCAGGCGAGGUGUGAGGUGGAGUGCUACACCCACACACACACACACACACACACACACACACACACACACACAAACACACACACAAACACACACACACAAACAGGAAUGAGAGGGAGGGAAAUACUGGAAACACCAGGAAAGGUAAAAACAGGAAAAUACCCCAUGUAUUACCCCAGCUCUGACCUGGACCAUGACAGUACAGGAAUCCAGAUGUUACAGUGGCAAGGAAAACUGUGACAACAUAAAGAAACUGUAAGAGGAACCAGAGUUAAAUGGGAAUCCUCUUCUGGCUGACACCAGAGAGUGGAAUUCUAAACAAUUCCGAUAUAUAGGUGUAAAAGAGGAAAGUGUGUUGAAAGGAUGUUCAGUAUGACCAUAUUGUGACUAAGAUUCCUAGGAUGAGCACAGCACUGUCUUUAUAUGGUGGUGGCAUUGUUUUUUUUUUUUGGGUUGUCCGUCCAUCCAUCUGUCCAUCCAUGCAUCUGUCUGGGAUUAUCAUUAGUGCUAUAUCUCAAGAAUGAGUGGUUCAAAGUGCAGAAUUGCAGAAUGUUGAAUUUAUCAUUGUACCGAGCAGACGAACAGAUUAGGUUUUUAGAAGUGCUUCAAACAGGGUCAAGGUCACAGCAAGGUCAGAUAGCUGCAGUAGCUUUUCAUCAAUAGAUUUCCUCACGAAGAAUAUUUUAAGGGUAUUUCUGGCAUACACGGUAGACUUGACUUCCCGGUUGACACCACUGUCAUCGAGAUUUACUUCAUUUACAUCAUACCCUUCUCUGUCUCCCUCAAUAAUUUCUUUCAAUUAUUAAACCCCUUCCCUGGCUCCCUUAUCCUCCUCUUUCUCUCUGUGUCUCUCUCCUACUCUUUCCAGUCUCUUUUAAUCAUCAUCCUGUAUUUCCAUCUCUCUCUCUCUCUCUCUCUCUCUCUCUCUCACACACACACUCACUCACUCUUCUCCCUCCAGCUUGCACACAUUUUGCUUGCAAUGACAUCACACCUCCGUAAUGGAGUUUUAAAGCAGUGUGUGAGACGUGUGUGAGUAAGCUCGCCUCAUUUUUCACACCCAUGAGCCAAACUGAGAUGUUCUAGCUGAUCUGCUUGGUUGAGACAAAUCUUUCAUGGCCUAAUUUUAUCACGCUUCAAUGCAAAAUACCUGCCGCCUCCAGCAGCCAUAUUUUUGUGCAGGGCCAUCAAGGCGCAAAUACGGCAUAUUGCAUUCUCCUGCCUUGUGUUUCAUUAUUCAUAUGUAUUUUUAAGAAAAGAAAAUAGCUGAGGUUAGUUUCGUCAGCAUGUUUUUGGGAAGUUGGAGGAAACCCACACAAACUCUCUGUGAAACUUUGCACAGAUAGUAACCAAAGCGCCGGAUGGAACUGGGGACCCUGGAGCUGUGAGUGCUACCCACUGUGCCAUCCUGAUCAUAUUCCAAAUCAUAAUAAUAGACAAACACAUCCUUUCUGAUCUGAGGUCUGAACAGUUGUGUACUGAAUAUAUACAAUACUGAAAAAAGACCCUUCCAUAGUGAUUUGCAAGCCUGAUUUUAUUUUUAUUUUUUUUUUUUUGAAACAGAACAUUAAUAUUCAUAAUAUACAAAGUGCUGCAAAUAAGUUAUGUAAAUGUUGUUUUUUUUAUUUAUAUGAAACUGGGUUGGAUAAUACAUCAGGCAUUUGGCACACUCCUGCUUGCACUGUAUUCAAGUAGGCAGGACUGGAGAGAUCGGGUGUAACAGGACACAUUAUCUGAAAAGAACUUAGUCAGUAAUGCGACCUAUUGUGAAUAUCAGCUGGGGAAAUGGAAUGGCAGAUGUGCUAUAAUAUUAAUAACACUGUUGGCUGCAAUCCAGUGAAGGGAUUCUAUAUCUGUGAAAUUUUGUCAUUUUGGAACGUUAACUCAAUAAUGUGUUUCAUUAAUAUCACAGUCAUGAACAUUGUCUCAUAAUACUGCCAAAUCUCAUCAGUGCUUCUAUCAUGAGGGUAAUAUUAAGGUCAUUUUGAGCCAAGAGGGUAAAUAAAAGGGAUUUUUUUUUUAAAGGUCUGAUGUAUCUAGAUGUGAAACAGGUGAUGUCGGUGGCAUCCUUCCGCUUCAG